UAAUCUCACUACAACCACUUUAUUGUUGUUUGUAUGUGGAACUGGAUGUUGCCGUGUAACAAACGGCUCAUCUGAAAUGCCUGAGUGUACCCUGCUUUGCGGCGUAUUCGGUGUGAUAAAUCUUCACCGGAGUUGACUUUUGGGUCGCGUCUGCUUAACAUGGCUCUAUGCUUCCAACCGUCCUGACAAGACAACCUUUGACA
rnacentral:misc_RNA from 2 species